UGCAAUGUUGGCACGAAUUCUGAGACGACCGCGAAUAAUCCUAUGUUUAGGGUUGCCGUGUGCGAAGGUAGGCUGGGUGGCAAGGGUUUUGUUGCCGUGUCCGAAGGAAGGCCGGUGCGAAGGGUCUCUCUCCGGUGGUUGUAGAUCCGGCGGCUCGGGUGCGAAGGAAGGUUGGGUGCCAAGGGUUCCUUAUGUAGAGGAUCCAAAUACUCCGGAAGAAACGUUUUUGUAAGUUUUUCAGGUUUUCUUCUAUCUAUUUAUAAAUGACUUUCCUUCUUUUCAAGGCAACGACUAGACUCCUCAUGCUGAUUUGGUGCAGUAGAUUUUGAUAAAAGUAGGUCUGCAGUCAUUAAUUAGUGAUUAACUUAUAUAAUUGUCAUAAUUAACUAAUUAAUUAAUUAGUUGAGAAAAUUGUGUGUACACUUACAUUGGGGAAAGAUAAACCAAGAAAGAGAUGAUGUUGCCCGUAAUAAUAGGGAGCAUUUAAAAGAAAUCCAUGAUAAAAGAAAUAAAGAAAAUAUUGAAAACCAUGAUUAAGUGGAUGAUUCGUAUUUAAUUAAUUACCUAGUAUUCCAAAUAGAAUGAGUAAAAUAUGUCCUAUAUCAGGGUCCAUCUUGAUGCUUGCGAGCUAUCGAAUUAGAAGAGCAAUUAAGGGGGAAAAUAAUGCAAAAAGAUUGUCUAAAAGGAAGUAGAAAAGCAAAACUUAUGAAUUUGUGUUUUCUUGUGUUUCCAUCAAUGGUCUUUUCCAUUGAGUAUAGAGGCAUUUUGUUUUGAGUUAUUUGUUAAAUUUAAGAAUUUUGUUAACUCUUUAACAAACUAAAGUAAAAGAGUGAUUUAAUUAGGAUGCGUUUGGUUUGCUAGAUUAAUUAAUUUAUUAAACUGUUAAUUACAACAUAUUAUAAGCCUCAAAGGAUUACUUGUAUAUAUAUGGCAGUUGGAAAAAAGUUGACUGUGAAUUUAGAAAGUGAGUGGAUGUAAUGGAUUAAGAAAGUAAUUAGAAAUAUGAAAAAGAAAAUGUUCAUAUAAAGAUCUUAAAUUGUUUUGUGAAAAUUCUUUAUGAAUUUACUUUGGCUCAAAAUUUCGAUGACAUAAUAUAAGGUGUUGGUUAUCAAUAGUAUUAACUCUCCCAGAAACAUGGGAAUUUGUAACUAAUCAAAUUUUAAUUAACGAUUGAAUGAAGUUAUUAGAUAAUGAUGGGUUGUUAUUAGAUAACGCUCGAACAUGGGAAUUUUGUUUUAUUUUUAAUUUUCUACUAUAUUAUUAGUGACAGAUUUUUAAAAUUGGUCCCUAAUAUGAUGAUGCUAUUCACACUAAAUUGUAUUGAUAAAAUAUUAUGAAGCAAUCAUAAUGCUUUCAAUGAACCAAAAUAUCAUGAUUUUCAUAAACAUAUAACCCCAAUAUUUGGUUAAGUUUCUAGACAAACUAUCAAGGAAUAGAUAUCAUCUACAUCCUAAACAACUCAUGAUCUUUAUAAAGUUUUAAUACGCUUGGAAAUGGAUAAUCCUAGAUUGGUUCAUCGUCAUCUUCAGUAAGCUGUAUGUGUCCUAACUAUUUUGGAUUGGCUAUAUAUUUUGUAUGCCUCCAUUAAACUCUGUGUGCCGAGAAUGUAUAAAUAAUACCUUUAGAAUGAAAAUAACAACAAUUUGAUACUUUUUCAUAUUAAAGCAUCACAAACCAUUAGUAUUUAUCAAAAUUGUGUUACAGCCAAAAUAACAAAUAUUUUUCCUUGCACUAUGUAAGCAAAUCAAAAGGAGCAUCUCUUGGAUUCUUUAGUUAAUAAUUAUAUCUUACUCUAAAUAAAAUUGUAUAGUAAUACUUCUAUCCUAAAUAUUCUCCUUCCUGGCCCUUGGUAUGGCAUGGUUCCAACAAUGACAAUGUGACAAUCUCUUAGGCAACUGCUAAGCAAAAAACAACAAUAAAAGAAUGAUAAAGCAGGGGAGUCAACAAGGGUGAGAUAAAAAAAAUGAUAAAGUGCAACUUUAACAU